GACGAACGCUGGCGGCGUGCUUAACACAUGCAAGUCGAACCGAAAGGCCCUGCUUUUGUGGGGUGCUCGAGUGGCGAACGGGUGAGUAACACGUGAGUAACCUGCCCUUGUCUUUGGGAUAACUUCAGGAAACUGGGGCUAAUACCGGAUAGGAGCUCCUGCUGCAUGGUGGGGGUUGGAAAGUUUCGGCGGUUGGGGAUGGACUCGCGGCUUAUCAGCUUGUUGGUGGGGUAGUGGCUUACCAAGGCUUUGACGGGUAGCCGGCCUGAGAGGGUGACCGGCCACAUUGGGACUGAGAUACGGCCCAGACUCCUACGGGAGGCAGCAGUGGGGAAUAUUGCACAAUGGGCGGAAGCCUGAUGCAGCAACGCCGCGUGCGGGAUGACGGCCUUCGGGUUGUAAACCGCUUUCGCCUGUGACGAAGCGUGAGUGACGGUAAUGGGUAAAGAAGCACCGGCUAACUACGUG
rnacentral:rRNA from 1 species